rnacentral:rRNA from 1 species
AACGAACGCUGGCGGCAUGCCUAACACAUGCAAGUCGAACGAGACCUUCGGGUCUAGUGGCGAACGGGUGCGUAACGCGUGGGAAACUGCCCUUAGGUUCGGAAUAACUCCCCGAAAGGGGUGCUAAUACCGGAUAAUGUCUUCGGACCAAAGAUUUAUCGCCUUUGGAUGGGCCCGCGUUGGAUUAGCUAGUUGGUAGGGUAAAAGCCUACCAAGGCGACGAUCCAUAGCUGGUCUGAGAGGAUGAUCAGCCACACUGGGACUGAGACACGGCCCAGACUCCUACGGGAGGCAGUAGUGGGGAAUAUUGGACAAUGGGCGAAAGCCUGAUCCAGCGAUGCCGCGUGAGUGAUGAAGGCCUUAGGGUUGUAAAGCUCUUUUACCCGGGAUGAUAAUGACAGUACCGGGAGAAUAAGCUCCGGCUAACUCCGUG